GACGAACGCCUUUGGCGUGCUUAACACAUGCAAGUCGAACGGAAAGGCCCUGCUUUUGUGGGGUGCUCGAGUGGCGAACGGGUGAGUAACACGUGAGUAACCUGCCCUUGACUUUGGGAUAACUUCAGGAAACUGGGGCUAAUACCGGAUAGGAGCUCCUGCUGCAUGGUGGGGGUUGGAAAGUUUCGGCGGUUGGGGAUGGACUCGCGGCUUAUCAGCUUGUUGGUGGGGUAGUGGCUUACCAAGGCUUUGACGGGUAGCCGGCCUGAGAGGGUGACCGGCCACAUUGGGACUGAGAUACGGCCCAGACUCCUACGGGAGGCAGCAGUGGGGAAUAUUGCACAAUGGGCGGAAGCCUGAUGCAGCAACGCCGCGUGCGGGAUGACGGCCUUCGGGUUGUAAACCGCUUUCGCCUGUGACGAAGCGUGAGUGACGGUAAUGGGUAAAGAAGCACCGGCUAACUACGUGCCAGCAGCCGCGGUGAUACGUAGGGUGCGAGCGUUGUCCGGAUUUAUUGGGCGUAAAGGGCUCGUAGGUGGUUGAUCGCGUCGGAAGUGUAAUCUUGGGGCUUAACCCUGAGCGUGCUUUCGAUACGGGUUGACUUGAGGAAGGUAGGGGAGAAUGGAAUUCCUGGUGGAGCGGUGGAAUGCGCAGAUAUCAGGAGGAACACCAGUGGCGAAGGCGGUUCUCUGGGCCUUUCCUGACGCUGAGGAGCGAAAGCGUGGGGAGCGAACAGGCUUAGAUACCCUGGUAGUCCACGCUGUAAACGGUGGGUACUAGGUGUGGGGUCCAUUCCACGGGUUCCGUGCCGUAGCUAACGCUUUAAGUACCCCGCCUGGGGAGUACGGCCGCAAGGCUAAAACUCAAAGGAAUUGACGGGGCCCCGCACAAGCGGCGGAGCAUGCGGAUUAAUUCGAUGCAACGCGUAGAACCUUACCUGGGUUUGACAUGGAUCGGGAGUGCUCAGAGAUGGGUGUGCCUCUUUUGGGGUCGGUUCACAGGUGGUGCAUGGCUGUCGUCAGCUCGUGUCGUGAGAUGUUGGGUUAAGUCCCGCAACGAGCGCAACCCUUGUUCACUGUUGCCAGCACGUUAUGGUGGGGACUCAGUGGAGACCGCCGGGGUCAACUCGGAGGAAGGUGGGGAUGACGUCAAGUCAUCAUGCCCCUUAUGUCCAGGGCUUCACGCAUGCUACAAUGGCUGGUACAGAGAGUGGCGAGCCUGUGAGGGUGAGCGAAUCUCGGAAAGCCGGUCUCAGUUCGGAUUGGGGUCUGCAACUCGACCUCAUGAAGUCGGAGUCGCUAGUAAUCGCAGAUCAGCAACGCUGCGGUGAAUACGUUCCCGGGGCUUGUACACACCGCCCGUCAAGUCAUGAAAGUUGGUAACACCCGAAGCCGGUGGCCUAACCGUUGUGGGGGAGCCGUCGAAGGUGGGACUGGUGAUUAGGACUAAGU
rnacentral:rRNA from 1 species